GUAAGGGCGUACGGUGAAUGCCUUGGUGCCAACAGGCGAAGAAGGACGCGGCAAGCUGCGAAAAACCUCGGGAAGCUGCAAGCAAGCGAUGAUCCGGGGGUGUCCGAAUGGGGUAACCUGACUGGGGUAAUACCUGGUCGUUCAUACCUGAAUACAUAGGGUAUGAAACGCAAUACCCGCUGAAGUGAAACAUCUCAGUAAGCGGAGGAAAAGAAAGAGAAAUCGAUUCCGUAAGUAGUGGCGAGCGAAAGCGGAUGGAGCCCAAACCGAAGGUACUCCUUCGGGGUUGUAGGACCACGACAUAUUCGACCAUAGUGGAUAGUAGAACAGUCUGGAAAGGCUGGCCAUAGAAGGUGAAAGCCCUGUAGACGAAAUCCAGAGUGGGAAUUAGUGGUAUCCUGAGUAAUACAUCACACGUGGAACGAUGUAUGAAUCAGCGCGGACCACCGCGCAAGGCUAAAUACUAGUUGGCGACCGAUAGUGAACAAGUACCGCGAGGGAAAGGUGAAAAGAACCGCUGUGAGCGGAGUGAAAUAGAACCUGAAACCGUAUGUCUACAAAGUGUCAGAGCAGAGCAAUCUGCGAUGGCGUGCCUUUUGUUUAAUGAGUCUGCGAGUCAGUGUUUGUGGCAAGACUAAGGGCUUCCGGCCCGGAGUCGCAGCGAAAGCAAGUCCGAAUAGGGCGCAUUAAGUCGCAGGUACUGGACCCGAAGCGGAGGUGACCUACCCUUGGCCAGGUUGAAGCAUGGGUAAAACCAUGUGGAGGACCGAACAGGUGAACGUUGAAAAGUUCUCUGAUGAGCUGAGGGUAGGAGUGAAAGGCUAAUCAAACCCCGUGAUAGCUGGUUCUCUUCGAAAUGCAUUUAGGUGCAGCGUCACGUGCUGAUGCGCGGGGGUAGAGCACUGACAAGGCUAGGGGGCACACCCGCUUACCAAACCUUAUCAAACUCCGAAUACCGUGCAAUGGAACGUGGCAGUGAGACAGUGGGGGAUAAGCUUCAUUGUCGAGAGGGAAACAACCCAGACCAGCAGCUAAGGUGCCUAAAUAACGCUGAGUGGAAAGGAUGUGGGAUUACACAGACAGUGAGGAUGUUGGCUUAGAAGCAGCCACCAUUUAAAAAAUGCGUAAUAGCUUACUCAUCGAGUGAUCCUGCGCCGAAAAUGAUUGGCGAUCAAGCGUUAUACCGAAGCUCUGGACUUUGCCGCAAGGCAGAGUGGUAGAAGAGCGUUGCAUGCGCAUUGAAGGGUGAUGGCGACUGACCCUGGAGCGCAUGCAAGUGAGUAUGCAGACAUGAGUAACGUAAAGCCGGGUGAAAUCCCCGGCCGCCGUAAACCCGAGGUUUCCAGGGCAACGUGUUUCGUCCCUGGGUUAGCCGGGACCUAAGCCGAGGCCGAGAGGCGUAGGCGAUGGAUAUCAGGUUAAUAAUCCUGAGCUCGCGACCCUUAAACUGGGGGGACGCAUGAGAAGAGAUGACCAGGUUAUUGAAUUCCGAGCUGGGUCCACGGACCCAGCGCAUCAUCAAAUCGAGUGCCAAGAAAAGCCCCAGCGUAUGCUAAGCGACCCGUACCGCAAACCGACACAGGUGGGUGGGUAGAAUAUACCAAGGCGUAAGAGUGAAACCUGGUUAAGGAACUCGGCAAAUUAGCCCCGUAACUUCGGAAGAAGGGGUGCCUGCAGCGAUGCAGGCCGCAGAGAAAUGGCCCAACCGACUGUUUAUCAAAAACACAGCACUCUGCAAAGACGCAAGUCGAAGUAUAGGGUGUGACACGUGACCAAUGCCGAAAGAUUAAGGCAAGGGGUUAGCCGCAAGGCGAAGCUCUGAACCCAAGUCCCGGUGAAUGUCGGCCGUAACUAUAACGGUCCUAAGGUAGCGAAAUUCCUUGUCGGGUAAGUUCCGACCUGCACGAAUCGUGAAACGAGUUGGGCACUGUCUCAACCAGGCGCUCAGUGAAAUUGUAGUGGCGGUGAAGAUGCCGCCUACCCGCAGAAGGACGGAAAGACCCUAUAGACCUUAACUGUAAGCUGUCAUUGUUUCUUCGGUUUUAAUGCUCAGAGUAAGUGGGAGACGCUGAAGAUGCCCUUUAGGGGGCAUCCGAGUCAUCAAUGAGACACCACCCUUUGAAACUGGAGGAUCUAACCCUGAGCCGUGAAUCCGGCCAGAGGACCGUGUCAGCCGGUCAGUUUUACUGGGGCGGUAUCCUCCCAAAGAGUAACGGAGGAGCGCGAAGGUGGGCUCAGCCCGGUUGGCAACCGGGUGUCGAGUGCAUGGGCAUAAGCCCGCCUAACUGUGAGACCAACAAGUCGAGCAGAUGCGAAAGCAGGCCCAAGUGAUCCGGCGGUAGAAAGUGGAAUUGCCGUCGCUCAACGGAUAAAAGGUACCUUAGGGAUAACAGGCUGAUCACGCCCAAGAGUUCAUAUCGACGGCGUGGUUUGGCACCUCGAUGUCGGCUCGUCGCAUCCUGGGGCUGGAGAAGGUCCCAAGGGUCCGGCUGUUCGCCGGUUAAAGCGGCACGCGAGCUGGGUUCAGAACGUCGCGAGACAGUUCGGUCCUCUAUCCUCUGUGGGCGUUGGAAAAUUGAGGGGUUCAGACCUUAGUACGAGAGGACCGGGUCUGACGCACCACUGGUGCAUCGGUUGUACUGUCAAGUGCAUGGCCGAGUAGCUAAGUGCGGAAGGGAUAAGCGCUGAAAGCAUCUAAGCGCCAAGCCCAUCCCAAGAUGAGUUUUCCCUAUAGGUUCGUGGAAGACCACCACGUCGAUAGGUCGCAGGUGUAAGUGCAGCAAUGUAUUGAGCCAAGCGAUACUAAUCACCGAUAGACUUCAUC
rnacentral:rRNA from 1 species